rnacentral:rRNA from 1 species
AUUGAACGCUGGCGGCAUGCCUAACACAUGCAAGUCGAACGAGUGGCGGACGGGUGAGUAAUGUCUGUGAAACUGCCUGAUGGAGGGGGAUAACUACUGGAAACGGUAGCUAAUACCGCAUACUGUCGGAUGUGCCCAGAUGGGAUUAGCUAGUAGGUGGGGUAACGGCUCACCUAGGCGACGAUCCCUAGCUGGUCUGAGAGGAGGACCGGCCACACUGGAACUGAGACACGGUCCAGACUCCGACGUGAGGCAGCAGUGGGGAAUAGUGCACAAUGGGCGCAAGCCUGAUGCAGCCAUGCCGCGUGUAUGAAGAAGGCCUUCGGGUUGUAAAGUUCUUUCAGCGGGGAGGCGUUACCCGAAGAAGAAGCACCGGCUAACUACGUGCCAGCAGCCGCGGUAAUUC